rnacentral:RNase_P_RNA from 1 species
UGAGUCGGCCGGGUGAUCGCGGCCCCCGAACCCCACCUGCACGGGUGGAGGCGGGUGUCGAGGAAAGUCCGGACUCCACAGAGCACGGUGGUUGCUAACGGCAACCCGGGGUGACCCGCGGGCACGUGCAACAGAAAGUAGACCGCCUGACUCCCUCGCGGAGGCGGGUAAGGGUGAAAGGGUGCGGUAAGAGCGCACCGGCGGGCCAGGUGACUGGUCCGGCCAGGUAAACCCCACCGGGAGCAAGGCAUCAAGGUCUGCCACGUCGCAGACCGGAUCGGACGUUCGAGGGUGACUCGCCCGAGUUCGAAGCGUAGCUGCUUGAGGCGGCCAGCGAUGGUCGACCCAGAUGGAUGAUCACCAUCCUCACGGGAACAGGAUCCGGCUUAGAGGCCGGCUCAUUCG